GAUGAACGCUGGCGGCGUGCCUAAUACAUGCAAGUCGAGCGAACAGAUGAGGAGCUUGCUCCUCUGACGUUAGCGGCGGACGGGUGAGUAACACGUGGAUAACCUACCUACAAGACUGGGAUAACUUCGGGAAACCGGAGCUAAUACCGGAUAAUAUAUUGAACCGCAUGGUUCAAUAGUGAAAGACGGUUUUGCUGUCACUUAUAGAUGGAUCCGCGCCGCAUUAGCUAGUUGGUCAGGUAACGGCUUACCAAGGCAACGAUGCGUAGCCGACCUGAGAGGGUGAUCGGCCACACUGGAACGGAGACACGGUCCAGACUCCUACGGGAGGCAGCAGUAGGGAAUCUUCCGCAAUGGGCGAAAGCCUGACGGAGCAACGCCGCGUGAGUGAUGAAGGUCUUCGGAUCGUAAAACUCUGUUAUUAGGGAAGAACAAAUGUGUAAGUAACUAUGCACGUCUUGACGGUACCUAAUCAGAAAGCCACGGCUAACUACGUG
rnacentral:rRNA from 1 species